CGGACGCCUGGAGUUGUCGGCCCUUCCUUGCUCAGGCCCAUGUCCAGAUCCCGCAGAACUGGCUCCACACCAUACCUUUGGAGACCUGCUGUCUUGAAAAUGGAUGCUCAGUCUCAAGAGAAUGUGAGCAGAAAAUGUGGAUAGAGCAGCCUGAAGUUAUGCACAUCCCACCAUAUACACAUACAGACAUAGGCAGCGCCCAUGUGCAGUUUACGAUCCGUGGGCCUUGGACAAUAGUAACUGGCAUUUAGAACUUUACUAGACGUGAUGUGGAAAACCAAUCGUUUGAGCACAUGAUCUGGAAGCCGAAAGAAGGGAAAAGCGACCCAGUUUUUUAAACAUUAGUAGCAUGAUUGUGUGGCUCUUAGUUUUUAUGUCUAAUUCAGAUUUCUUUCAUGUGACCUUAGCAACUUUUUAAAUAUACAUAUGGAAAACUA